CGAAGGGGGCUAGCGUUGUUCGGAAUUACUGGGCGUAAAGCGCGCGCAGGCGGUCUUCCAAGUCAGUGGUGAAAGCCUGGAGCUCAACUCCAGAACUGCCAUUGAAACUGUUAGACUUGAGUACGAGAGAGGUGAGUGGAAUUCCCAGUGUAGAGGUGAAAUUCGUAGAUAUUGGGAAGAACACCAGUGGCGAAGGCGGCUCACUGGCUCGUAACUGACGCUCAGGCGCGACAGCGUGGGGAUCAAACAGGAUUAGAUACCCUGGUAGUCCACGCCGUAAACGAUGAAUGCUAGCCGUUGGAUAGCUUGCUAUUCAGUGGCGCAGCUAACGCAUUAAGCAUUCCGCCUGGGGAGUACGGCCGCAAGGUUG
rnacentral:rRNA from 1 species